UAGGGAAUCUUCGGCAAUGGGGGGAACCCUGACCGAGCAACGCCGCGUGAGUGAAGAAGGUUUUCGGAUCGUAAAGCUCUGUUGUUAAGGAAGAACGAGUGUGAGAAUGGAAAGUUCAUGCUGUGACGGUACUUAACCAGAAAGGGACGGCUAACUACGUGCCAGCAGCCGCGGUAAUACGUAGGUCCCGAGCGUUGUCCGGAUUUAUUGGGCGUAAAGCGAGCGCAGGCGGUUAGAUAAGUCUGAAGUUAAAGGCAGUGGCUCAACCAUUGUAGGCUUUGGAAACUGUUUUACUUGAGUGCAGAAGGGGAGGGUGGAAUUCCAUGUGUAGCGGUGAAAUGCGUGGAUAUAUGGAGGAACACCGGUGGCGAAAGCGGCUCUCUGGUCUGUAACUGACGCUGAGGCUCGAAAGCGUGGGGGGCGAACAGG
rnacentral:rRNA from 1 species